GUUUAUUAAAAUGAAUAUGCAACAGAUUACCAAAUAAGGCUUUACAAACCAUCAAUGAAGUCGGUUCGCGUACGAAUUGACCCGCGUACGAGUUGGUCGCGUACGAGUUGGUUCGCGUACGAGUUGACCUGUAUUCAGUUAUCUAGGUUCACGUUGAUAUGGACGAAAGGUUUGGGUCGACAUGCUUUCGUGAGAUUUUAGCCAAUAUUGAGGGUGAAUAAAACAGGAAUUCGUCAAGUCGCAACGUACGAAGUGUACAUGCAGUGUCAUGGCGUGACGAGUAGGGACCUUCGUCGCCAUGUUUUGGCAUGAUUUCGGAGAUUCAGACGGAAAUCUCAAAGACCUAUUGGUUGUCUCUCGGACGCUGUGGAGGAGGUUUGCCUGAGACAGUUCUUCUUAUGCGGAGUGUACGGCAUUCCACCAUGACACGCAGAUGACGUACCCUGCCCUGACGAAGGAUACCUUCAGAAAAUUUGACAAUUUUCAUCGGUUUUGAAGAGUUUCCUCCUAUUUCUGGAUUGAAGAUGG
rnacentral:lncRNA from 1 species